CCUACGGGUGGCAGCAGUGGGGAAUAUUGGGCAAUGGGCGCAAGCCUGACCCAGCAACGCCGCGUGAAGGAAGAAGGCCUUCGGGUUGUAAACUUCUUUUGUCAGGGACGAAGCAAGUGACGGUACCUGACGAAUAAGCCCCGGCUAACUACGUGCCAGCAGCCGCGGUAAUACGUAGGAGGCAAGCUUUAUCCGGAAUUACUGGGCGUAAGGGGCGUUAAGGCGGGGAAGCAAGUUAGAGGGGAAAACCACGGGCUUAACCUAGGGGCUGGUUUUAAAACUGCUUUUCUUGAGUGCAGGAGAGGAAAUCGGAAUUCCGUGUGUAGCGGUGAAAUGCGUAGAUAUACGGAGGAACACCAGUGGCGAAGGCGGAUUGCUGGACAGUAACUGACGCUGAGGCACGAAAGUGUGGGGAGCAAACAGGAUUAGAUACCCGAGUAGUC
rnacentral:rRNA from 1 species